rnacentral:rRNA from 1 species
GGGAUGCUUUACACAUGCAAGUCGAACGGCAGCAUAGAGAGCUUGCUCUCUGAUGGCGAGUGGCGAACGGGUGAGUAAUAUAUCGGAACGUGCCCAGUAAUGGGGAAUAACUAGCCGAAAGGUUAGCUAAUACCGCAUACGACCUACGGGUGAAAGCAGGGGAUCUUAGGACCUUGCGUUAUUGGAGCGGCCGAUAUCUGAUUAGCUUGUUGGUGGGGUAAAAGCCUACCAAGGCAACGAUCAGUAGCUGGUCUGAGAGGACGAUCAGCCACACUGGAACUGAGACACGGUCCAGACUCCUACGGGAGGCAGCAGUGGGGAAUUUUGGACAAUGGGGGAAACCCUGAUCCAGCCAUCCCGCGUGAGUGAAGAAGGCCUUCGGGUUGUAAAGCUCUUUCGAAAGUGAAGAAAACUUAUUUCGUAAUAUGUUAUAAGUAUGACGGUAACUUUAGAAGAAGCACCGGCUAACUACGUGCCAGCAGCCGCGGUAAUACGUAUGGUGCGAGCGUUAAUCGGAAUUACUGGGCGUAAAGCGUGCGCAGGCGGUUUUGUAAGUCAGAUGUGAAAUCCCCGAGCUUAACUUGGGAACUGCGUUUGAAACUACAAGACUAGAGUGUGUCAGA